rnacentral:rRNA from 1 species
UACGUAGGUGGCAAGCGUUGUUCGGAAUUAUUGGGCGUAAAGGGCGCGUAGGCGGCUCGACAAGUCCCGCGUGAAAGCCCCCGGCUCAACUGGGGAACUGCGCGGGAAACUGUCGGACUUGAGUUCGGGAGAGGGAAGCGGAAUUCCGGGUGUAGCGGUGAAAUGCGUAGAUAUCCGGAGGAACACCGGUGGCGAAGGCGGCUCUCUGGACCGAUACUGACGCUGAGGCGCGAAAGCGUGGGGAGCAAACAGG